CUGUAAUCCCUCCGUCCCCCCGUCUCUGUCAUCCCUGCGUCCCCCCAUCUCUGUCAUCCCUGCGUCCCCCCAUCUCUGUCAUCCCUGCGUCCCCCCGUCUCUGUCAUCCCUGCGUCCCCCCAUCUGCCUCAGCCCACACACGUGCCCGCCCCUUUCCUCCACAGGUGUCCAGCGGUGCCGAGUUUGGGGAUGGUUCAGUUGGUUGGUCACUCGGAAACAAGCGUCUCUCUGAAAAUAAGCUUCAAAUAAAAACAGCUGCCCACAGCAGUUCUGGGGGUAAACUGGACUCUUCCACCUGAUAGCCAGGGAAUGUCAGACAAGCUGAGGGAAGAAGGACUAUAAGGGCAGAUUAUGAAAAAUAAAGACCAUGUGAGGAGAAAGCCAAGCCGUACCAUUCAGGAGAAGUAGCUGCACAAAGGAGUGCUAUGGUCAAAUAAGUUUUUCCAAUGAGAUUUUGGAACAGCUCUCAAAGUACAGCAGUAUACAGCAUACCUUUCAUCUCAGGAUUGCAAGUCCUGCCAGCAAACCUGCUCUGGCUAGGGCUUCUCCUUCCAUGGGGCCACAGAUCCUGCCAGGACCCUGCUGCAGUGUGGACUUCUACCUCCUCUGGCCAUCCACCAGCUCUGGCAUGGAGUCCUUCAUCAGCUGGAGGUGGACAUCUGUUGCACCAUGGACAGCAGCAACAGAUGGACUGUUUGCCUCAAUGUGGUCUUCACAUGGGCUACUGGGAGAUUUCCCAGUGCCUGAAGCACUGCCUUCCCUGCUUCUUCACUGACCAUGGUGUCUGUGGAGCUGUUUCCUUUAUGUAUUCUUAGUCCUGUCUCCAGCUACUGCUCUGCAGCAGUUUUUUCACCCAUCUUAAAUAUGUUAUCCCAGAGGCAUUACAGCUGUCCUGAUGAACUCAGCUGGAGGCAGUUCCAUCUUGGAGCUGAUUGGCAUUGGUUCUGUCAGACAUGGGCGAAGUUUCUAGCAGCUUCUCACAGAAACCUUCCUUGUAGCCCCCUGGUGCCAAAACCUUGCCAUGCAAACCCAGUAGAGGCUUCUUGUCUGAAGAGAUGUGGUUUUGAUCCAUUGAGGUAAACAUGCUGAGGAUGCAUUACUGAGAGAAGACAUUCAUUCUGAAGACCUAUGAUUUUAGAGUUUAAAGGUUAAUAAAAUUUCCUUGGGAGGAGAUAAAAGCUUCAGACUGGUAUAAUUCUGCAUGUGGAAAGGAAAUUAAAAUUAUUCUUAUAUUGCUCCACAUUUAUAGAAUACUUGAGAUCAAAAGUGCUUCAAAAACUAUAUAUAGGGCUUGGUUCACCUGCUGAAGUCCUGUUUGUUGCAAGUACAAAGGCACUGAUUUGGGCAGACCCCAAGAGAAAAGUUAGAUAAGACACUAAACAUGUCUUGUGUCACAAACUUGUCACAAGUUUUCCAGAAGGAUAUGAUGCCUUUUUAUAUAUUUACUUAUUUAUGGCAACACAUAAAUUUUCACAGAUUGUCAUAGAGUUUAAAGAAAUCACUUAAAUUCUCUAAUGUGACCAUGUUGUAUAUCACAAUCCAGCAAUUUGUAUUUUAAGGGUAAAAAGUGAUUGUUAGACAUUAUUUCUAAUGGGAGAAUUAUGUGUGAUUGAUUCUUUUUGGCACAAAAAAGUUAAUAUUGCAUUCCUUGGAAAAGUCUGUAACUGUUAUGAAAUUGUAUGAAAGAUUGAUUUAAAUGUCUCCUCCAGCUGAUAAUAAAGCAAGAAUCUGAAACUCCA